ACGGAAGGCAGCAGUGAGGAAUAUUGGUCAAUGGACGCAAGUCUGAACCAGCCAUGCCGCGUGCAGGAAUAAGGCCCUAUGGGUCGUAAACUGCUUUUGUGGUGGAGCAAUAAGUCGUACGUGUACGGCGAUGAGAGUACAUCACGAAUAAGCAUCGGCUAACUCCGUGCCAGCAGCCGCGGUAAUACGGAGGAUGCAAGCGUUAUCCGGAUUUAUUGGGUUUAAAGGGUGCGUAGGCUGUGGUCCAAGUCAGGGGUGAAAGCCCGGAGCUCAACUCCGGAACUGCCUUUGAUACUGGAUUGCUGGAAUACGGAUGCCGUGGGAGGAAUGAGUAGUGUAGCGGUGAAAUGCAUAGAUAUUACUCAGAACACCGAUUGCGAAGGCACCUCACGAAUCCGUCAUUGACGCUGAGGCACGAAAGCGUGGGGAUCAAACAGGAUUAGAUACCCUGGUA
rnacentral:rRNA from 1 species